GGCUGGAGGUGACGGAGCCGAGGUGGCCGGGACGGUACUGCGGUCUGUCAGUGUCGCUCCAGGGGGUGGCUGACGACACCAUCAGUCACCUGGCUGACCUGGCAUGGACGGUCGGACGACUGUAUAUAUACGAUUGUCCUAAACUCACGGCCGGCUGCCUGGAGCCCAUCAA